CUUGGCUGAAGAGGAAAUAAAGGCAGAGCAGGAGGUGGUGGAGGGGAUGGAUAUCUCCACUCGAUCCAAAGAUCCUGGCUCUGCCGAACGCAUAGCACAAAAAAGGAAAUUUCCUAGCCCUCCACAUUCCUCUAAUGGCCACUCACCACAAGACGCAUCAACAAGUCCUAUAAAAAAGAAAAAGAAACCUGGUCUAUUGAACAGUAAUAAUAAAGAGCAGUCAGAACUAAGACAUGGUCCGUUUUACUAUAUGAAGCAGCCACUCACCACAGACCCUGUUGAUGUUGUACCACAGGAUGGACGGAAUGAUUUCUAUUGCUGGGUUUGUCAUCGGGAAGGCCAAGUCCUCUGCUGUGAACUCUGUCCUCGGGUUUAUCAUGCUAAGUGUCUGAAACUGACAGCGGAACCAGAGGGGGAUUGGUUUUGCCCAGAAUGUGAGAAAAUCACAGUCGCAGAAUGCAUAGAAACGCAGAGUAAAGCUAUGACAAUGCUCACCAUUGAACAGCUAUCAUAUUUACUGAAGUUUGCACUACAGAAAAUGAAACAGCCAGGGACAGAGCCAUUUCAAAAGCCAGUUUCACUGGAUCAACACCCAGAUUAUGCAGAAUAUAUCUUUCAUCCAAUGGACCUUUGUACAUUAGAGAAGAAUGUUAAAAAGAAAAUGUACGGUUGCACUGAAGCAUUUUUGGCUGAUGCCAAAUGGAUUUUGCACAACUGCAUUAUUUACAAUGGGGGAAAUCAUAAAUUGACACAAACCGCAAAAGUCAUCAUCAAAAUCUGUGAGCAUGAGAUGAAUGAAAUUGAAGUAUGUCCGGAAUGUUAUUUAGCUGCUUGCCAAAAACGAGAAAAUUGGUUUUGCGAGCCUUGUAGCAAUCCUCACCCUUUGGUCUGGGCUAAACUCAAAGGCUUUCCAUUCUGGCCUGCUAAAGCACUGAGGGAUAAAGAUGGGCAAGUUGAUGCCCGUUUCUUUGGCCAACAUGACAGAGCCUGGGUUCCAAUAAAUAAUUGCUACCUCAUGUCUAAAGAAAUUCCUUUUUCUGUGAAAAAGACUAAAAGCAUCUUCAAUAGUGCAAUGCAAGAAAUGGAGGUUUAUGUUGAUAACAUUCGUAGAAAAUUUGGAGUAUUUAAUUACGCACCUUUCCGGACACCAUAUACUCCCAACAAUCAAUACCAAAUGUUGUUAGACCCUGCAAACCCGACCGCUGGAACUGCGAAGACAGACAAACAAGAGAAAAUCAAACUGAACUUUGACAUGACAGCAUCACCCAAGAUUCUAAUGAGCAAGUCUAUGCUGAGCAGUAGUACUGGUCGCAGGAUUUCAUUGACAGAUAUGCCACGGUCACCAAUGAGUACAAACUCGUCAGUUCACACUGGAUCUGAUGUUGAACAGGACGCGGAUAAAAAAGCAACUUCCAGUCAUUUUAGUGCCAGUGAAGAAUCCAUGGACUUUAUUGAGAAAAAUACAGCUUCUCCAGCACCAACAAGAACGGGUCAAGCAGGGAGCUUGUCAGGCAGCCCCAAACCUUUCUCACCUCAAGCAUCAACGCCAAUUUCUUCUAAGCAAGAAAGAACUUCCACUCCGGGAAGCAUUCUGAAUCUUAAUCUUGAUCGUAGCAAAGCUGAGAUGGAUCUGAAGGAGUUGAGUGAGUCAGUCCAACAGCAGACCACUCCCGUGCAGCUAAUUUCGCCAAAACGACAGAUACGUAGUAGGUUCCAGCUUAAUCUGGACAAGACAAUAGAGAGCUGUAAAGCCCAACUUGGAAUAAAUGAAAUAUCUGAAGCUGUUUAUACUGCAGUAGAACACAGUGACUCUGAAGAUUCUGAAAAAUCCGACACCAGUGACAGUGAAUAUAGUGAUGAGGAUCAGAAAUCAAAGAAUGAUCAAGAUGAUGGAGAGGACAAAGAAGGGACGAGAAGCGACAAAGAAUCAUUGAGCUUGAAAAAAAAACCUAAGCCCCCAGCACAGAAUGAAGACAAGGAGGAGCUUAAAAGCACAAGUCCAGAAGUGGAGAAAACAGAUGACCCAGCCAAAGAAAAGGCAAUUACAGACACUGAAAAAGAAUUUUCUGAAAAGGGAAAAAGUUUACAGCAUCCUGCAAAAGAAAAACUGAAAGGUAAAGAUGAAACAGACUCCCCAACAGUGCAUCUAGGACUGGACUCCGAUUCAGAGAGUGAACUCGUCAUCGAUCUAGGAGAUGAUCAUUGUGGCCGCGAAGGGAGGAAAAACAAGAAAGAAUCUAAAGAAACUCCUCCUAAACAAGAUGUUGCAGGUAAAGCUCCGCCUUCCUCCAGUGCAAGUACCCAGCCUCUACCAGAAACUCCAGUACUUACUCGCUCUUCAUCCCAGACUCCACCAGCUGGUGUGACAGCAACUACUAGUGCUUCUUCUACUGUUAGUGCUCCUUCUGCAGCCACUGGAAGCCCUGUGAAAAAGCAGAGGCCUCUGCUGCCUAAGGAGACAGCCCCUGCUGUGCAGCGUGUAGUGUGGAAUUCUUCCAAUAAAUUUCAGACCUCUUCUCAGAAAUGGCACAUGCAGAAGGUGCAGAGGCAGCAGCAGCAGAGCCAGCACUCGCAGUCACAGCAACCUCAGUCCUCUCAAGGGACAAGAUAUCAGACAAGACAAGCAGUUAAAGCUGUGCAGCAAAAAGAAAUAACCCAGAGCACUUCCACAUCCACUAUAACCUUGGUUACAAGUACUCAGCCUAUUUCUAUGGUUACCAGUUCUGGAUCUGCAAGUACACUUUCUUCCUCAGUUAACGCCGACUUGCCAAUUGCAACCGCUUCAGCUGAUGUGGCUGCAGAUAUUGCUAAAUACACCAGCAAAAUGAUGGAUGCCAUCAAAGGAACAAUGACCGAAAUAUAUAAUGAUCUCUCCAAAAAUACUACUGGAAGUACAAUAGCUGAGAUUCGGCGUUUGAGGAUUGAGAUAGAAAAGCUUCAGUGGUUACAUCAACAGGAACUCUCAGAAAUGAAGCAUAACCUAGAACUGACAAUGGCUGAAAUGCGUCAGAGCCUAGAGCAAGAACGAGAUCGUUUGAUUGCUGAGGUGAAGAAGCAGCUGGAACUGGAAAAGCAGCAAGCAGUGGAUGAAACUAAAAAGAAGCAGUGGUGUGCCAACUGCAAGAAAGAGGCCAUUUUUUACUGCUGCUGGAAUACUAGCUACUGUGAUUAUCCCUGUCAACAAGCUCACUGGCCUGAGCAUAUGAAAUCUUGCACACAGUCAGCUACUGCAACACAGCAAGAAACAGAUACUGAAAUUAACACAGAAACAUUAAAUAAAUCAUCCCAGCCCAGUUCGAGUGUGCAGCCUACACCGACAGAAACAGCCAGCACCCCGAAGGAAAAGGAAGGUUCAGCUGAUAAAAGCAAAGAGAGUGUUUCAGACCCAUCAGUGUAGCUUCUGGUCUGGAUCUUUCGAUACAAGUUGCCUUCUGAUAAGCAAUACUGACUGCAGCACUUCCAAGCCCUUCUUGCCUGGGGGUUCAGAGGCCAAGCUCAAGACCUGCAUUCAAAUCAACUUACUUUAUCACAACAGACUGCCACUAGGGUACCACAAUGUUCCAUAACACUGAUACAACAAAUCACCUGGAUCUACAGUAAACGGAGCAGUGUGCAGUUACGAAAUCCUCCAUAGCAUCUACUCUGAUAGUAUUCAGUAGGCAAGGAUGAGCAAAUGCUCUAAUAAAAGGGACUUAACGUUGCAUAUAUAGAAAAUGUUUAUAGAGAAGUUUCUGCUUUAUAGGUAGGGCUUGACUAUUAGCAAUUUCAGCAUUGUUUUUCUUCUGCCCUUGCAAGAUUUAUUAAAUGAAAAAUUUUAUGGGGUGGGCUGAUCCUUCAAACCUUUACACAUGAUUCCCCACAUCAGUAGGAGCCUUGUUGUAUUUUAAAAUAUUAAAAGCAAACUAAUUUUGUAGUAUUGUGAUUCCAGCAUGAUGUCUCAUUGAGAUAGUCCUAUAGAAUUGGGAAGCAUAGUAAACUAGAGAGCUGUGUUCAUUUCUUGACACUUUUGCUACUGUCUGGUGUUAGAUCUCUGGGCUUGACACAUCAUCUAAGGGAGUAACUUGGGAAACAGAUCCGAAGAAGAAAAAAGGAUAUGCUGUUCCACUCGAUUGCUUGGGUGAAGGUAGUUAAACUCUGGCUCAGUCGAUGUUCAAAUGCAUAGUCUGUGGCAGCACAACUUCUGUUUUACUGGGGAGAUAAGGGAUGGGAGAAAAUCAAUUGCCUAAAACUUUUGCCAGGGAAUGUUCCAGUUAUACAAAUCUGGAAUUGCUUUCACAUAGAUGUUCUACCUGAAACAUCAUGCUGUAUACAUUAAUCAUAUUCAUAAUUUGAAUUUUGUUUUAUUAACAAAGAAGUAACCUGUGAAUUCAUUAAGAUGCAAAUUUUUAACACAAACAAAACAUCCGACAUAAAUUUCGUAUUAUAAGAAUAAUAACAACUAGGUGGAAUUUAUGUAAGAGCUAAGACUUCUACUGAGGUUGCCUGUGCUGUCUCUGCAGAUAGCAACAGGUGUGGCAAGCAACCAGCCUAUUAAUCUGGUCCAGGUACCGCAGACCACCACCUAUAUUCCAACUACUCAACCCACAAUUGGAAUGAAAUGAGUAAGCUUCUGGAAGGCAGAGAAGAGACUUUGCCACAAAGAAGCUAACGAACACUCUAGGCUGUAAUCCAUUGUAGUACUUGCAAUCUUUGUUGAAUACCCUUAAGACACUAAUGUGGUUUCCGAAAACAGUGUGGGGAAACACUAGGCUUCAGUGAACUUGUGUUUCUUCUUCCGUGUUCUCUUUGGAAUGUCACACUACCAUCAGGAGGAAGAUCCGUGCAUCCCUUUCAGAUUCCUCAAAAUCCCGCUUCCCGUUUCUUCUGCAAAAUGCUGUGAUCUGAAACGGAUGCAUUUGUUUGAUCACCAGUCAUGCAUCACUGGAAUUGUACCAAAACCUACUUGCAGUUUGUAUGGUAUAGGCAUUUCUAGACUUUCUCACACCUUUGGAGGAAGCUUAAGAUACAAACUUAAGAUUGAAUAAAUCCUUUUCCAGAUCUUCCAGAGUGAUGUGACCUUGACCAGAUUGUUUAAUGUUCUUGUGCCUUUGUCUCUGCACCUGUAGAAUCAAUUACCACCUAUAGAUAUGUCCCGAAACUUCAUCUGUUGAGAUUUAUAAAUCUGUAUGAUGGAAGUGAAAAAUUUAUUCUAUAGUAAUAUUUUUACAGGGUGUGUAAGACAGUUCCCAGUAAUGCUGAUGUUUUUGUUAUUGAUUUGUGCAAAAGUUAAGUUAAGAACUUUUUUUUGUUCAAAUGGAUGUUCUUCGUUCUCUUCUGUGUAGACUGGAUGCAUGGGGGAGUUCUUUUUGGGAAAAGAGAUUUAAGUAAAUGUGUAACAAGAAUAUACUUAUAAGCAAGGGUAUUUUUGUACUCCAGUUUGAUUUGUCAAAACUUUUUCAAAUGACAAAGGAUUUUCUUAACCCUUUUUCCUCUUCCGAUAUAUCAGUUUGGGGAAAAUACAUGACUGGAUAUAACUAUGAAAACCUAGCUCUCCGAGCACAGACAGAGUGUGUACAGUACCUGUGGGACCACCUGUCCCUGUAAUUAGACAGUAGUAAGAAUAAUAUGGAAAAACUCCUGGCUCUAGGAAAGUAAUACACUACUUUUGACCCUGGAAUGAGGUAAUAUUGCAGUAAUAAAGGUAUUAAUUCUUGCACAAAAUUGGAACUUGUUCUGGAUUUUCCCUGGAAAAUAAAUCUCUAUUUCUGUGGUCAUGUUUAUGUGACCUUUAACAUAACAAUAUGUUUUUCUUGGUUUUAAUCCACAGACCAUUCCUGUAGUGGUAAGUCCUUCUGCUGGGACAGUGGCAAUGAGAACUGGAGUUCAAUAUGUUCAGACCACAAUGCCAGUCCAAGUACGAAGAGUCUAACUGCUAACAAGAAGUCCAUACAAUUGUUGGAAUUAAUAAAUCUAAUAGAAAUGUGAAAAAUAAACACAGUUCUUUGGAUUAACAUCAAAGUUUCAGACUUUAGCUUUGUUUAUGUGUACAAAGCAUUAACUACACUACAUUAAUGUAAAGCAUUAGUGCUGGCUUAGAAAAGCUGAGGACAGGUAAGAUCCAUAUUCAAUCUAUGCUCCUUUUGUAAAUAAUGUACAAUUUGUGGAUGUCAUUAGAGUACCAUCUCCUUUUUAUAUUUGUAUUGACUUUAACUUAUAAAGAGCGUUUGAAGUUGGAAAAGGAAAACUUAAAACAGCCUUAUCGCAGACUAACACUGAAAGCUGGUCUUGGGAAACUGCAGUUACACAUCAGAUAAUAAAAUCACAAGAACCUGAACAACUUGAUUUGCAUUUGGAUGGAAAAAAAAAUUCUGCACUUGGAAACUCUUGUAGAAUUUCUUUGAGCAACCAAAUGAUGAAGGUUAUCUUUUUUCACUUAAUUGUAUUAGGCAGGUUUGACAUUUCCAAUCUGUGGACCUGAAAUGCAUAAAGAUUGACAUUGGUUUUUCACAAUGACCAGACUGUUCAAAUUUAUAUUGUUUACAGGUUACAGUUAAUUUAAAAUUUCCUUCAGUCUAAUAUCAGAAAGGUUUGGAGGUGUUAUUCUAGCUGGUGGUGGUGCGAUUUCUGAUCACUGAUAUCAAAGACUGAGAAAAGUAAUUUUUUUUCCUAUGCUUCACAGUUCAGUUUUGGGUUUUUUUUAAAUCCUCCAAAAAGGACUUUGAAAAGCUUUUUGAAUGGAACAAGAACUAGGUGUGGAAAAAAACAUGGACUGGGAAAUGCGGGCAAAGGACUUUGAUGCUGGGCCAGAGCAUGUAUUAUUUAUAUGAUGGAGUUUAUGUUUUUAUGUAAGCAUGAAACAGUACAGUAUGAGAGAAAGUAACCCUGAAAAUGCCGUCUGUUACACUUAUACUGUAGUACCAUUUUGUAUGUUGUGUAAAACGAAAGCAUUGAACAAAGCAAAGGUGAUGUAUGUAUAUGAGAAAAUAAUUGUAUGAUAUCAUUCCAGUACCUUCUGUUGUACAUUUUAGUCAUGUUGAUUUCUCCCAUUGUUUAUAAAAGAGCGCGGUUUGUACAGUCUCCAGCUAGUACCGUAUUAGAGGGAAGAAAGUAUUAGAAGAAAAAAGCGAGAACAGAAUAUUCGUGAAUUGCAGUUGUGUCAAAAAUAGCCUAGCUGGCCUUAUUUGUGAAGCAUAAUUGCUUUUAGCAUAUGGAAGUAUUUUUUCACAUUUUCUUUGUAUAAAAUUUGUAUUAAACUUAAAUAUCUUUUUUGACAAUUGUGUUUCUUUGUGACCAAGACAGGUGACACACACUAUGCUGUGGGUUUCUCCAAUUCUUCAAGAAACGUCACGAU